UGUUGAGUAUAUGAGUUUCGUCAGUGGUUUAGCGUGGGCAGCUCAGUUCGGUGAAGUCAUCGUUCGAAGGUCCGUUGGAUCUGACUCGAUUCACUCUGAUCUGUUACUGUUAUUUCUCCAGUCUCCUUCGGAAGAGCCACGGUCACCUCCGUAACCGCCACGGCUGCCGACACCAUAACUACCACCACCUUGGCGACGGCCAUAUCCACCGCCACCCCGGCCUCCAUAAGCACCACCUCCUCCGUAGCCACCACCACCACCGCUAUAGCCUCCGCCCCCAUAAGAUAAAGGAAAACAUAGAUAUUAAUCACACGAGCAAAUUAUUCAUCUACGGAGCAACAAUGGAAUUCUUAGCCUAUGAUUAAACUAAGAGCAACAAUAAUGAGUGAAAUCAUGGAGCAAAUUCGGAGAAGAUAAUUGUUUGAUGAAAUCUCUAGCACCACUUCCCUUCUUGAUUCAAUCUUCCCAAGUCGUCCAGAAUCACCCAAUCAAUUUCUCAAUUUGGUGAAAAUAUUUGCUCUCCAGAUCCGUCUCUCUCUCAAUUUUCUCCCUAAUUUCCUUCAUGUUGUUUUUGAGAACAUGGAAUUGGAGCUAUGAAAUUGGAGUCUACAAUUCCAAUUUUCUAAAAAAUGUAUAGAGUUGGAAUUGAAUUAUUAUUCCAAGUUUCCAAUUCCAUAUUUUAAUUCCACGGUUCUAACAAAACAAUUCAAAUUCCAAUAUUUCAAUUUCAAUUCCAAUUCCAAUUCCAAUUCCAAUUCCAAUUCCAAUUCCAAUUCCAUGGGUCAAAACUAAAAAUUCGCAGAUCUUAUUCGGGUCAAAUUUGAUAACCGGGUCAGAAUUAUUUCCUCCCAAUUCACUCCGCCUCUCUCCUCCCUUCGCGCUGCCUAAACCCUUUUCUCUGCAGAUUCGUCAUCUCCUCCCAUCUCUGUUCCAAAGGUCCAAACGAUUCAUAGGUAAUUAUUCCCCAUCAAAAAUUCAGAUUUAUCACCAUCUUCUUAUGUUAUGGUGUGUAUUUUUGUGUUCCUACUUUUGAAUUUGCGAAUUUGUACAGCUCACCAAUUUUUUUAAAUCUGCAAUUUUUUUUUCAGAUCUUAAUUCUUAGCUGUGUUGAUUUGAGCUUUAUCUUACCCGAUGUUUUUGGCUUUUGGGUUUCUAUCUAGGGUUUCUCGGUUGAACUAUUGACGGUUUACUUUUUCUUGCAAUUAUUUUCCUGAUUUCUUGACAAUGUUUGUUUACGAACCUAUGAAAUUGUGGGAGCUAGGAUUUAAGACCCGAGAGAUGUGUUUUGAGUCGAAUAUGAUUUGGGAUAUGGAAUACAUGUGCUAAAAAUCUCGAAGAUGUUGGAUUGAUUGAAGUUACUCAAACGCUAGUCAUUUAAUUAUUGAGUAGGUGAUAGUUACAGUUUCAAAAUGAGCUCUGAAAUUCUUGUUCUAAUCUCAAGAAGAACUUGGAAGAACUUCCUUACUUUCAUAUUUUGCUAGAAACACAAAUGUAAGGCAUUUAUGAGCUUUCACUCUCUAUGUUGAGUUAUUUAGCAAAACUAGAGAUCAUGGUAGCAGGUUUUUAUAUUUCUUGAAGUAUAAUUAGGAUAAAGAUGUUUGCUUUAUCUCAUUUUGUAGCAUUUGUACCAACAUCAAGUUUAUGGUUUUCUUGCUGUCUUUGUAAACUGUGUUCCUCAUAUUAAAUGUAAUCAAUGUUCCCUUUUCAUUUUUACAAUGCUGAAUUUGACUUUUACCUUGUUCGUUUGCUGCUGCACACAAACUUCUCUACUAUUGCUUCGAGUUGUCACCAAGUACAUGGAUAUCCAUGAGUCUGACUCCGAUGAUGGAGGUGACGAUAAGAGUUCUUCGACUAAGAUAUUCAUUAUUCUUCACGUUGUGAAAUUUGCUACAUUAGUCAAUCAGUGGCAUGAACAGCGGAUGGUGAAAGAGCCCAGUAUUGACUUUUCCAUAGCACGCGAGAUAUAUAUAAGACGACUCUACUAUGGACGUGACAGAACUUGUAAUGUUGAAUUUGAAUAUGUUAUAUUUCAUCUAGGAGACUUUGUUUGUGAAGAAUAGAACAUUUGAAUGUAUUGUUGAAACCUUUGUAGCUUUUCUAUUGUUGUUCUUUUACCACUUGAGCUGGAUGCAAAUAUUACUUUAAAA